rnacentral:rRNA from 1 species
ACGCUAGCUACAGGCUUAACACAUGCAAGUCGAGGGGAAACGGCAUUUAGUGCAUGCACCGAAUGGACGUCGACCGGCGCACGGGUGAGUAACGCGUAUCCAACCUUCCCACAACUAAGGGAUAACCUGCCGAAAGGCAGACUAAUACCUUAUGUAAUCCUUUGAUGGCAUCAGAUAAGGAUAAAAGAUUUGUCGGUUAUGGAUGGGGAUGCGUCUGAUUAGCUUGUCGGCGGGGUAACGGCCCACCAAGGCAACGAUCAGUAGGGGUCUGAGAGGAAGGUCCCCCACAUUGGAACUGAGACACGGUCCAAACUCCUACGGGAGGCAGCAGUGAGGAAUAUUGGUCAAUGGACGGAAGUCUGAACCAGCCAAGUAGCGUGCAGGAUGACGGCCCUAUGGGUUGUAAACUGCUUUUGUAUGGGGAUAAAGUCAAUCACGUGUGAUUGUUUGCAGGUACCAUACGAAUAAGGACCGGCUAAUUCCGUGCCAGCAGCCGCGGUAAUACGGAAGGUUCGGGCGUUAUCCGGAUUUAUUGGGUUUAAAGGGAGCGUAGGCCGGAGAUUAAGUGUGUUGUGAAAUGUAGACGCUCAACGUCUGACUUGCAGCGCAUACUGGUUUCCUUGAGUACGCACAACGUUGGCGGAAUUCGUCGUGUAGCGGUGAAAUGCUUAGAUAUGACGAAGAACUCCGAUUGCGAAGGCAGCUGACGGGAGCGCAACUGACGCUGAAGCUCGAAGGUGCGGGUAUCGAACAGGAUUAGAUACCCUGGUAGUCCGCACAGUAAACGAUGGAUGCCCGCUGUUGGUACCUAGUAUCAGCGGCUAAGCGAAAGCAUUAAGCAUCCCACCUGGGGAGUACGCCGGCAACGGUGAAACUCAAAGGAAUUGACGGGGGCCCGCACAAGCGGAGGAACAUGU